UACGCUACAACAAAUGUCUGUAUACUUAGGAUGGUCUACAAUGAUCCUACAGCUAUUGACAUGUAAUCACUAGCUGCAUUCGUAUCUGACAUGUCCUGUGUCAUCUGUCAUACCCUCGGGAUGACAAAGAGAUGUUGAACAGGUAUCAACAGAGCUGUCUUUUGGCUACAUGUGAGACAUUGCUACAUCUUUGAAUUCUAUCCCAGGGACCACUCUGGGAAGUGC